GAACUACUUUGACCUCAUAUGUUGCAGCAUUAAUAGCUUGAAAUAGCACCAUCACAAAACAUACAUUUGAAAAAACUUAACUUGGAAAUAGUCAACUGAUAAUGUUCUUCAUUGUCACACAAGAGAUUUCUUCAAACAAGCAGCAAAGAAAAAGACAGGAGACACGAGACAGAUAACUUCUAAAGCAUCUGACGUCGAGAUUCAGCAGUUCUAUCAACACUCAUCACAUCGCCAUAUGAAUACCUAUUGAAGAGAACAAUGAGACUGUCUUUAUUGGUAUAGUUAAGGUAUACGUCAAGGUUAGAAUUCAUCAUGAGUGCAGUUUGUGGCGAAGAUAAAAGUCAAAACAAUCUUAACAAAAAGUAACAAGCAUAAAGCAGUGAAAGCUAUUUUUCAGGAUAUUCAAACUUUGUGAUUAUAACUACUAGAUUCUGUGUCAUUCAUCUUUUAAAUUAUUCCAUGGUAAUUUGAGCUUGUUCUAGAAAUUUGUUAUUACAGUUUGAGAUUUAUGCUUCUUUUUAUGUUAUUCACAUACAAGAAAAUGAAAAAAAUGUUAUGAUCAGAUGGCUUUCAAUUAACAGCAAUGGUCAGUGUGUGUGUAUGUCUAGUAAAGAAGAAAAGUUUCCCAAAGGUGACAACUGGAAUCAUUUGUCUUGUAUGGUCCAUUAUUUAGAAAAAAUAUUUACUAAAAAGACUCACCCUAUCCUAGACUGAGUUUUUAUUGUAUUACACUUUGCAAAUGUAGCAGCAUAAAUCUUUAAAGACCCUUUUAAAAUCACAUUUAAGAAAAAAAAACCAACCCAACAUUUAAAAUGCAUCUUGUUUAUUGAGAGUUCAAAUGGUUAGACAAUCAACAUUUGACAUUUUUUAUACCUGAUAUUUUGGGUAAGCUCAACAACAUAUGAAUCAAUACACCUGCAAAUAAAUGUAGGUAUGAAAUUUGUAUAAACCAUAUUUAUAUUGAAUAUCUGUAUAAAUGCAUUACAUCUUAAACAGAAGGAAACUUUUCUAGUCUAAGGAC